GACGAACGCUGGCGGCGUGCCUAAUACAUGCAAGUCGAGCGGAUGGAAGGAAGCUUGCUUCCUAGUGUCAGCGGCGGACGGGUGAGUAACACGUGGGCAACCUGCCCCUAAGAUCGGGAUAACUUCGGGAAACCGGAGCUAAUACCGGAUAUGAUUAUGUCUCACAUGAGACAUAAUGGAAAGACGGUUUCGGCUGUCACUUAGGGAUGGGCCCGCGGCGCAUUAGCUAGUUGGUGAGGUAACGGCUCACCAAGGCGACGAUGCGUAGCCGACCUGAGAGGGUGAUCGGCCACACUGGGACUGAGACACGGCCCAGACUCCUACGGGAGGCAGCAGUAGGGAAUCUUCCGCAAUGGACGAAAGUCUGACGGAGCAACGCCGCGUGAGUGAAGAAGGUUUUCGGAUCGUAAAACUCUGUUGUUAGGGAAGAACAAGUACCAUAGUAACUGAUGGUACCUUGACGGUACCUAACCAGAAAGCCACGGCUAACUACGUGCCAGCCGCCGCUGUAAGAC
rnacentral:rRNA from 1 species